GUUGGGCACGGUGGCUCAUGCCUGUAAUCCCAGCGCUUUGGGAGGCUGAGGCAGGUGGAUCACCAGAGGUCAGGAGUUCUAGACCAGCCUGACCAACAUGGUGAACACCUGUCUCUA
ensembl:misc_RNA Metazoa_SRP Metazoan signal recognition particle RNA